rnacentral:rRNA from 1 species
UGGGAACGCGAAGAACCUUACGGGUCUUGACAUCUACCGAAUCCGGAAGAGAUUCCGGAGUGCCUUUCGGGGAACGGUAAGACAGGUGGUGCAUGGUUGUCGUCAGCUCGUGUCGUGAGAUGUUGGGUUAAGUCCCGCAACGAGCGCAACCCUUGUGAUUAGUUGCUACGCAAGAGCACUCUAAUCAGACUGCCGUUGACAAAACGGAGGAAGGUGGGGACGACGUCAAAUCAUCAUGCCCCUUAUGACCUGGGCUACACACGUACUACAAUGGCCGUCAACGGAGGGAAGCGAAACCGCGAGGCGGAGCAAACCCCUAAAACGGUACCCAGUUCGGAUCGCAGGCUGCAACCCGCCUGCGUGAAGCUGGAAUUGCUAGUAGUCGCGGAUCAGAAUGCCGCGGUGAAUACGUUCCCGGGUCUUGUACACACCG